rnacentral:rRNA from 1 species
UACAGAGGUCUCAAGCGUUGUUCGGAUUCAUUGGGCGUAAAGGGUGCGUAGGUGGCGCUGUAAGUCAGGUGUGAAAUUUCGGAGCUCAACUCCGAAACUGCAUUUGAUACUGCGGUGCUUGAGGACUGGAGAGGAGACUGGAAUUCACGGUGUAGCAGUGAAAUGCGUAAAUAUCGUGAGGAAGACCAGUGGCGAAGGCGGGUCUCUGGACAGUUCCUGACACUGAGGCACGAAGGCCAGGGGAGCAAACGGG